GCUCUUGAUUGCAGCUCUGUAGGGUAGUCCCGGACACAACCAAUGCGCGGUCCAGCCCCAGUGGUCCACUUGCAAGGCAAUCGUUGGGGCCACUCAAAAACAGUUGCCUUCAAGCUGGCAUUGUUAAUUUUAAUGUCUUGCUCUGUAUUAACAGUUGUGUUUGUAGUCUCCUUGGUGGACAAAUCCAUAUCAGUUGUAUUUGUAAUGUUGGGUUGAGAAGCAGGAGCAGAACCCACAAUUGAUUCUUGCUUUUGUUCUUCUUCAACAACGUUUGAAGGACAGUCAUCAUCAAUUGCAUACCUCUUGACAUUUGUGAGAUCUACAUUGUUUUCCUGAAGGAAGCUGAUAAAUUCCCUGAAGUUUUC
rnacentral:misc_RNA from 1 species